rnacentral:tRNA from 1 species
AGAAAGAUAAGCUAAACAAGCUACUGGGUUCAUACCCCAUCUAUGAGACUUUUGACUUCUCUCUUUUUA